rnacentral:rRNA from 1 species
UACGUAGGGUGCAAGCGUUAAUCGGAAUACUGGGCGUAAAGCGUGCGCAGGCGGUGAUGUAAGACAGUUGUGAAAUCCCCGGGCUCAACCUGGGAACUGCAUCUGUGACUGCAUCGCUGGAGUGCGGCAGAGGGGGAUGGAAUUCCGGCGUGUAGCAGUGAAAUGCGUAGAUAUGCGGAGGAACACCGAUGGCGAAGGCAAUCCCCUGGGCCUGCACUGACGCUCAUGCACGAAAGCGUGGGGAGCAAACAGG